UACGUAGGUGGCAAGCGUUACUCGGAAUCACUAGGCGUAAAGCGCAGGUAGGCGGUUUGAUAAGUCUCUUGUGAAAGCUCCCGGCUCAACUGGGAGAGGUCAAGGGAAACUGUCAGGCUAGAGUGUGGCAGAGGAAGCUAGAAUUCCCGGUGUAGCGGUGAAAUGCGUAGAUAUCGGGAGGAAUACCUAUGGCGAAAGCAGGCUUCUGGGCCGUCACUGACGCUGAUCUGCGAAAGCUAGGGGAGCAAACAGG
rnacentral:rRNA from 1 species